AGCUAAUAAGCUUUAAUCAAGCCUAUGUUUUGAAAACAUAAGAUAGAAGUUUAAUCCUUCUAUUAGCUU
rnacentral:tRNA from 1 species